rnacentral:rRNA from 1 species
CCUACGGGAGGCAGCAGUCGGGAAUAUUGCGCAAUGGAGGAAACUCUGAUGCAGUGACGCCGCGUGUAGGAAGAAGUUUUUCGGCAUGUAAACUUUUGUCGUUAGGGAAGAGACAGGACAGUCCAUAAGGAGGAAGCUCCGGCUACCUACGGGCCCGCAGCCGCGGUAAUACGUAGGGAGCGAGCGUUAUCCGGAAUGAUUGGGUGUAAGGGGUGCGUAGACGGGAAAACAAGUUAGGUGUGAAAGCCCUCGGCUUAACUGAGGAACUGCCACUAAAACUGUUUUUCUGGAGUGCAGGAGAGGUAAGUGGAAUUCCUAGUGUAGCGGUGAAAUGCGUAGAUAUUAGGAGGAACACCAGUGGCGAAGGCGACUUACUGGACUGUAACUGACGUUGAGGCACGAAAGUGUGGGGAGCAAACAGGAUUAGAUACCCGUGUAGUC